rnacentral:rRNA from 1 species
GUCGAUGGAAGUUUGAGGCAAUAACAGGUCUGUGAUGCCCUUAGAUGUUCUGGGCCGCACGCGCGCUACAAUGCUAGGUUCAACGAGUCGAUUUCGUACUUGGCCGAGAGGCCUGGUUAAUCUUCUGAAAUCCUAGCGUGCUUGGGCUUGCCUCUUGCAACUAGAGGCACCAACGAGGAAUUCCUAGUAGACGCAGGUCAUCAACCUGCAUCGAUUACGUCCCUGCCCUUUGUACACACCGCCCGUCGCUUCUACCGAUUGGUCGUCCCGGUGAACAAUCGGGAGGCCGUGCUCAUGGUCAGCAAUGGCCGGAGCGCGGUUGAACUUUUGUAAAUUUGGACGACUAGAGGAAGAAGAAGUCGUAACAAGGUUUCCGU